GAUUAGGUCCUUCAGUGAAAAAAUAUUAAAUUUGAGGGAUCCCCCCUCAAAAUCUCUGUCCUAACCGGCCACGCCUUCCUCCCUCUGCAGCUCUGCUGACGCUUCAUGCCCCCUCCUCCAUUGAUCCUCAAACCGCCAUUUCUGCAACACCGGGAAGAAGCUCGGAAGGAUCACUGCCAUUGCAUUCUUCCUCCUUUUGGCCGUCGAAGGCGUUUCCACGAAGUCAGUUGUAGUAACUUUCCUUCCUUUCUGCUCUGCCCUUCAACUCAUGUUCACCCAUUCAAGCUGUAAUGCAGAUUUGUCUUUCAGUUUUCAUGAAAUGCUGUGCGUUCUUCCUGUAGCUUAAGGUUUCCUGUAGCUCUGUGGUCUUAUGUUUUGGAGGAAAUGAGCUCAGCUGCUCGAUAUGAGCGUGUUUGGUGCUCUAUCCCGGUGCUCGGUUUUCUUCUCUUGAUAUGUAUAUCUCCGACGACUGUCAACGGCUUCUUUCGAUGGAAUAUUCCAGCGAUGAGGCCAACCUUCGUUGUAAUAUCUAUACACGAAACAGAAAAGAGCUUCAUUUCUUCCUUCUCUUGCCUUCCUUGAACAUUUCAUUUGCUAGCAUCUCUCUGUUAAGUGGAGACCGGAGUAUGAGGUCUUAGCGUCCUUCACAUUAUCCAUCUUUCUAAACUUUAACCCAUUCAGAAUGAUCUUCAGUGAUGCAGGUGAAGCAAAUUUUCUAUAUUCUAUUGGAUCAACAUGUUUUAGUUGCUUUUUGCACAGGCGACAGUUCUUAAACCAUGAAUCGAGCAGACAUGGAUGUAGACAUGGCAGAGGAUGGCGAGAAGUUUGUUUGGCCUUGGACAGGAAUCCUGGUGAAUAUAACCAUCAGAAGGGUGAGAAAUGGGCAAUAUGUCGGGAUGAGUGGACGGGAACUGAAAAAUGAACUUAUGAGGAGAGGUUUUGAUCCUGUGAGAGUUCGUCCUCUGUGGAACAAGCAGGGCCACUCUGGAAAUGCGGUGGUGGAAUUUAAGAGAGGUUGGGUUGGUUUUCAUGAUGCCUUGUUGUUCGCGAGGGCUUACGAAGCAGACAGUCAUGGACGCUGGGAUUGGUACGCUAGUAAUGAAACAGAUGCUGGGCUUUAUGCUUGGAUUGCCCGUGAGAGUGACUACAAUUCCUAUGGUAUCGUUGGGGAGUAUCUGACCAAGGCUGGAGAUCUUAAAACAGUUUCGGAAUUUAUGGAGGAAGAGGCUCGAAAGCAUGAUAUACUCGUAUCACAUCUUAAAAGAGUAAUAGAGCUCAAGGAUAAGCACUUACAGGAGAUGCAAGAAAAAAACGACCAAGUUUCAUGGGCUGUUCACCAAUUUACUGUCCUGAAAGAAAAGCUCAAUGCAGCAAUAGAUAACAUACGGAUGGCUACGGAAGAUCAGUUGCAGAGAGUGCUCAACAGCCAUGAAAAGUUCAAGUUGUGCAUGGAAUCUCAGGCAAAGGAGCUUGAGUUGUCUGAGUUUGAGCUAAAGGAGCGUCAGGCCCGGAUUGAUAGAGAAACAAACAACGUUGUAAAAGGGACCCAAAGGAAGAAUUCCAUACAAGAUUGUUCAUUCCAAUCUUUGGACUGGCCCAGAGCUGAUCAAAAUGUAGCCACACUGGCGAAGGAUCAGGUUGAGGACAGAGGAGAACCGGAGUUGGAAAUCGAACAGUUGGGAUGGAAACUCAGAGUAAAGAGAAGGAGGCGUUCGGUGUCUGAAGAAUGCACAGACAAGGAAGGAAGCCAUACGAGCAUACAAAUACUUCAAUCUCCUGUACUUAAGGAGCCUGAGGAACAUGUUAUACUUCAUGAAGCUUGCCAAGACUUAAUUAAGGUAAUGGAAAAAGCAGCCAAUAGUUCUUGGAUAGGUACCAUGAAAAAUGAAGAUGUCAAAACAAGACCAGUCCCUGAAGUAUUAGAGCUGAAGUAUAAUGAAGAACACGAAGCAGAGAGGAAACUUUCAGCACUGUGCUACUUGUGGAAGGAAUAUUUGAAUAAUACAGCCUUGAAGCCUUUCCCAUUGACAUCGAAUGAAGGAAUGCAUUCGGUAUGCUCAUCAUAGAUGCCUUGCUGUAAUUUAUACCCGAAUUAGUUCCUCUAUUAAAGCAGUCUAGUGUGAUCAAUUUCACUCGAGACGGACCCUCAAGAUGGAAGUGCCCUCUUAAGAGGUUGGCAGCGCUUAACCUUCCGUGCGGAUUGAGGUAAUGAAAAAAGUAGCCAAUGGUUCUUGGAUAGGUCCUGAGACAAAUGGAGAUGUCGAAACAAGACUGGUUUCUGAAGUACUGGAGCUAAAGUGUAGUGAAGAACAAGAGGCAGAGAGGAAA